rnacentral:rRNA from 1 species
UUUGACAUGCUUGGAUGCUUGCCUGGAAACAGGUUUAAGUUGCCCUUCGGGGUGAAACUUGCACAGGUGCUGCAUGGCUGUCGUCAGCUCGUGUCGUGAGAUGUCGGGUUAAGUCCUCUAACGAGCGAAACCCUUGCCGUUAGUUACCAGCGGGUCAUGCCGGGAACUCUAACGGGACUGCCGGUGUUAAACCGGAGGAAGGUGGGGAUGACGUCAAGUCAUCAUGGCCUUUAUGCCCAGGGCAUCACACGUGCUACAAUGGCCGGUACAAAGCGACGCAAGACCGCGAGGUGGAGCCAAUCGCAAAAAACCGGCCCCAGUUCGGAUUGCAGGCAGGCAACUCGCCUGCAUGAAGUUGGAAUCGCUAGUAAUCGUGAAUCAGCUAUGUCACGGUGAAUGUGUUCCUGAGCCUU